UACAGAGGUCUCAAGCGUUGUUCGGAUUCAUUGGGCGUAAAGGGUGCGUAGGCGGCGCGGUAAGUCGGGUGUGAAAUCUCGGAGCUUAACUCCGAAACUGCAUUCGAUACUGCCGUGCUUGAGGACUGGAGAGGAGACUGGAAUUUACGGUGUAGCAGUGAAAUGCGUAGAUAUCGUAAGGAAGACCAGUGGCGAAGGCGGGUCUCUGGACAGUUCCUGACACUGAGACACGAAGGCCAGGGGGAGCAAAACGGGG
rnacentral:rRNA from 1 species